GAUGAAGAACGUAGCGAAAUGCGAUACGUAAUGUGAAUUGCAGAAUUCAGUGAAUCAUCGAAUCUUUGAACGCACCUUGCGCCCUUUGGCCAUUCCGAAGGGCAUGCCUGUUUGAGUAUCAUGAACACCUCAACUCUUCAUGGUUUUCCGUGAUGAGCUUGGACUUUGGGGGUCUUGCUGGCCUAUGGUCAGCUCCUCUAAAAUAAAUCAGCUUGCCAGUGUUUGGUGGGUAUCACAGGUGUGAUAACUAUCUACGCUUGUGGUUUUCCACCAGGUAACCUUCAGCAGUGGAGGUUCGCUGGAGCUCACAGAUGUGUCUCUCCUCAGUGAGGACAGCUCUUUGAAUGUUUGAUCUCAAAUCAGGUAGGACUACCCGCUGAACUUAAGCAUAUCAAUAAGCGGAGGA
rnacentral:misc_RNA from 1 species